UACAGAGGUCUCAAGCGUUGUUCGGAUUCAUUGGGCGUAAAGGGUGCGUAGGCGGCGCGGUAAGUCGGGUGUGAAAUCUCGGGGCUUAACUCCGAAACUGCAUUCGAUACUGCCGUGCUUGAGGACUGGAGAGGAGACUGGAAUUUACGGUGUAGCGGUGAAAUGCGUAGAUAUCGUAAGGAAGACCAGUGGCGAAGGCGGGUCUCUGGACAGUUCCUGGACGGCUGAGGCACGAAGGUCAGGGGAGCAAACGGG
rnacentral:rRNA from 1 species